GACGGGUGAGUAACGCGGGGUAACCUGCCCUGUACACACGGAUAACAUACCGAAAGGUAUGCUAAUACGAGAUAAUAUGCUUUUAUCGCAUGGUAGAAGUAUCAAAGCUUUUGCGGUACAGGAUGGACCCGCGUCUGAUUAGCUAGUUGGUAAGGUAACGGCUUACCAAGGCGACGAUCAGUAGCCGACCUGAGAGGGUGAUCGGCCACAUUGGAACUGAGACACGGUCCAAACUCCUACGGGAGGCAGCAGUGGGGAAUAUUGCACAAUGGGCGAAAGCCUGAUGCAGCAACGCCGCGUGAGCGAUGAAGGCCUUCGGGUCGUAAAGCUCUGUCCUCAAGGAAGAUAAUGACGGUACUUGAGGAGGAAGCCCCGGCUAACUACGUGCCAGCAGCCGCGGUAAUACGUAGGGGGGCUAGCGUUAUCCGGAAUUACUGGGCGUAAAGGGUGCGUAGGUGGUUUCUUAAGUCAGAGGUGAAAGGCUACGGCUCAACCGUAGUAAGCCUUUGAAACUGGGAAACUUGAGUGCAGGAGAGGAGAGUGGAAUUCCUAGUGUAGCGGUGAAAUGCGUAGAUAUUAGGAGGAACAC
rnacentral:rRNA from 1 species